rnacentral:tRNA from 1 species
GGCCCUCUAGGAAUUGGACAGAGGCCUCCGGAGCCUCUGACCUGGGUUCGGAUCCCAGCAGGCCCG